AAAAUAAUCCUACCCUUUGUGAAUUUUGUUUGUUUGAAUAAUUUUUUUUUUAAAAAAUUAUUGGAGUCUUUCCCUUUAGAGUUUGCUUUUGAGUUUGUAAAAGAAUUCGAAAACAUCUAAAGGGGAUGGUCAAUAAUUUUUUUGAAAAAAGACAUUUUUUAAAAUUAAACUUUUUGUAUUCAUUUGUCUAAAAAUUAUUUUUAUAAUAUAAAACAACUUUGACAAUGGAUCUCUUGGUUCUCGCAACGAUGAAGAACGCAGCAAAAUGCGAUAAGUAGUGUGAAUUGCAGAAUACGUGAAUCAUCGAAUCUUUGAACGCAUAUUGCACUUUUUAGUUUACUAAAAAGUAUGUCUGUUUGAGUAUCAGUAAGAUAUUCUCAUAAAAAUCAUUGUAUUUUUAUGGUUAUGAGUGUUUUACAACGAUACAAGUUGUUUCACUUUAAAUUUUUUUUUAAUAUUGAAUUUUUCUAAUUUUAAUAAUUAAAAUUGGAUAAAAUUUUCCCGUCAAAAGGAAUAACCUAAACAAUUUUAAACGAUUAAUUUAGCAAAAUUUUCGUAAAAAGGAAAAUUUUUAUUAAAAUAACUUGAUCUCAAAUCAGAUAAGAGUACCCGCUGAACUUAAACAUAUCAAUAAGCGGAGGAAAAGAAACUAACAAGGAUUCCCUUAGUAACGGCGAGUGAAGCGGGAAGAGCUCAAAUUUGAAAUCUUCAAGGUUUUACCUUGACGAAUUGUAGUUUAAAGAAGUGUUUUCUGCUGAAGUUUUGGUAAAAGUUCUUUGGAAUAGGACAUCAUAGAGGGUGAGAAUCCCGUAUUUGACCAUUAUUUUCAGCUUUGUGAUACACUUUCAAAGAGUCGGAUUGUUUGGGAAUGCAGCCCAAAAUGGGUGGUAAAUUUCAUCUAAAGCUAAAUAUUGGCGAGAGACCGAUAGCGAACAAGUACCGUGAGGGAAAGAUGAAAAGAACUUUGAAAAGAGAGUUAAACAGUACGUGAAAUUGUCAAAAGGGAAGCGUUUGACGCCAGUGUUGUUUUCUCGAAAAUCAAUUAAAAAUGGCUCGAUUUUGUAUUGCUGAGACCUUAAAAGCUCACUGUACAUUUUUCGUGUCUUUUUUAAUGCACUUUUCGUUUAACAAGUCAACAUCAGUUUCUUUUGUUGUAAAAGGGUCAUUGGAAGGUGGCUUUCUUUUCGGAGAAAGUGUUUAUAGCCUUUGGCCUCUGCAAUCGAAGAGACUGAGGUCUGCAGCGUAGACUCUUCGGGUUAGAUACAUUUGUGCUAAGUUAUAGCUUUUUAUAGACAACUUGUUGACUAUAAUUAGUCUUGUAGCUUACUCGCUUAUGCUAUUUUACCUACGCUUAGGAUG
rnacentral:misc_RNA from 1 species